UACAGAGGCCACAAGCGUUAGUCGGAAUCACUGGGCUUAAAGGGUGCGUAGGCGGGUCCGCAAGCGUCCUGUGAAAUACCUCGGCUCAACCGAGGAACUGCAGGGCGAACUGCGGAUCUUGAGGCAUGUAGGGGCUGCGAGAACAGUAGGUGGAGCGGUGAAAUGCGUAGAUAUCUACUGGAAUGCCGAUGGUGAAGACGCGCAGCUGGGCAUGUCCUGACGCUGAGGCACGAAAGCGUGGGGAGCAAAC
rnacentral:rRNA from 1 species